rnacentral:misc_RNA from 1 species
CCUGCUAACCGCUCAUAAAAUAUGCCCACUAACAGAAGAUGUACCUAAUAGACAGACCAGGUAUUUCAAGAAGCAAUACAAAGAAGCAAUACAACUGUAAACAGAAGCGCUAACGGUUCAUCCAAAAAACAAAAAGACAGACGUGGUAACGACAAAUGACCACAGGAGCUACAACCCAAGUUUUGAAAGAAGCUGCCGCCACCUUGGAGUCUCUUCGUCGAAAAUGUAGGUUAAAGGAGAAAUUAAAACUCCACUUCCUCCAAUCGCUCUCAGUUGCUGCACAGACUUGUAUAAUGCCUUUUUUGGGAUACAAAUGACUAUGGCAUAAUAAUCUGGUGAAACUUUUCCAUCAUGUUUGCAGUAAACUGGACUUACAGUAGGCCCCUGCAACCCAGAAAGUGAUGGCUGGCUCAGAACACGUUCUGCCACUUCAUCUGCACUGCUUCCUCUCAUGUUUGCAGUCACCGUGAACUGACCAAUUGCCCUCAAAUGCGCCUCCAACCUUUCAAGAAUCUCAUGUGUUGUGUCCAGUGCACCCUGCCGUUGCAUUAAUGAUUUCCUGCUAGCAACAAGAACAGCCUGGCUCUCCAAUAGAACUCCACCUUCAAUUUCUUUCAGGUUGUUUUCUCUUAACGUUGUUCCACUACUCACAAGGUCCAAAAUAGCAUCAGCUAUUCCCAUCGCAGGAGCAGCUUCCAAUGCUCCAUCAGCAGUUGA